rnacentral:rRNA from 1 species
GACGAACGCUGGCGGCGCGCUUAACACAUGCAAGUCGAACGGAAAGGCCUGCUUUCCCUUGUGGAUUGCGGGUACUCGAGUGGCGAACGGGUGAGUAACACGUGAGUGAUCUGCCCCCAACUUGGGUAUAAGCCUGGGAAACUGGGUCUAAUUCCCGAUAGGACUGCAGGGUGGUGCCUGUGGUGGAAAACGAUUUUCUAGUGGUUGGGGAUGAGCUCGCGGCCUAUCAGCUUGUUGGUGGGGUAAUGGCCUACCAAGGCGGGGACGGGUAGCCGGCCUGAGAGGGUGGACGGCAAGAUUGGGACUGGGAUACGGCCCAGACUCCUACGGGAGGCAGCAGUGGGGAAUAUUGGGCAAUGGGCGGAAGCCUGAUGCAGCGACGCCGCGUGGGGGAUGACGGCCUUCGGGUUGUAAACUCCUUUCGACCGCGAGGAAGCCACCUGGUUGGAAGGGUGGUGACGGUAGUGGUAGAAGAAGCACCGGCUAACUACGUG